AGGGAUUUAGGAUAGAACAUAGACCAAAAGCCUUCAAAGCUUUAAGCAGGAGUGAAAGCCUCCUAAUCCCUG
rnacentral:tRNA from 1 species